CUUCUUAUUGGAUUCAUCUCCCCCAUCAGAUGCCCAAUUUCGAUCUGCAUGUGCUGCCAAGCUGGUUAUAAAAAGAUGGUUUGGGUUUCCGAUACUCUCUCGGGCUUCGAUUAUGGUUGUUCUGUUCUCUCUGGACCUCUAAUGCCGCUGUCUCGUGCAUGUAUUAUUUUGACCUUCGAUCUCUGUUCGUAGACUGGGACGAGUUCUGUUCAACUGGGGGAGACUGCGGUGUGACAGACACUUUGUGCUACCCUACCGAGAGAGAUGGGACCAGCAGGAGGGUGGAGAAUGAAUGAAAGGUGGAAUUCAAAUUGAAAAAUUCUACUCAUCAUAUACAUACCACACACCACACUUGAUUUUUUAAUUUUUAAUUUUUAAUUUUUUUCCCCUUAGCAAAUGUGUGGUGUAAUGGAUGAUGAGUAGAAUAGUACAUUUAGUUUAGCAGGAAUAAAACCAAAAAAUAAAAAAAUAAAAAUAAGUGUGGUGUGUGGUGUAAGGAUGAUGAGUAAAAUUGCUCAUUCAAAAUAAGUUCAGUGGGAGAAGCAGGAUCGAGGGAACUCCCUCUCUAAAACCACCCAAUGAAUAAUAACUCAAGCCUCACAACCCCACUUUUGGAGACGGAAGAGACUUCUAUGUGAGGGCAACAUUGCUGAAAUAUGCUAGUUGGCAAUAUUAUGGUUGUUGUGUUCCUGGAGAUUCCCAUAUCCGUCUUUGAAUUUGUGAAUAAAACUCACUAAGUUAUAGAAUGCGAAUUUUCUGCUUACUUUUGGCAGCACAUCUUGUCUUCUUGGAACCAAUAGUAAGCAUGCUGGUAGUCUUAUCUCACCAAGAAAAAUACUGAAUUUUUCUUAGCUGAAGUUCUUGGGCACAUCCAUGCUCCUUUCUCAACUAUCUGUGAGCCCUGUUGUGGUGUUCUACUGUUGAAUACCUGAUGCUUAACUGUAAUUUCAUGCUAUAGAAUCAAAGGAAUUCAGAAGUAAAAAGAUUGUUCUGGAAGAAUCUUCAUUUGCUUAAGCACCAAAGCUACUUUUUUCCUGAGAUGAUUCUCCUGACGAAGCUGGAUGAGGAUCCCCUCAUACUGCUGAAAUAGUGGCUAGGCGAUCUGUGUAUGGCUUAGAAUCUUCUGGAAGAGGUCUAGGGCUUUAGCUUUGGCAGACAAGGAACCCUUCUCCAGGAUUCAUAGAAUGGCCACCACUCCUUGGUUGUCCACGAUGGCUGCAGUAGCACGAGACAGUAUGCUAUGUUCUGUCAGUAAUGUUUCCGGUGCCAUUAAAGCAGCUUCUGCUACACCGGACUCUGUUUCACUCAAAGUUUGUACCAGUGGCUUCACUGCAUCUACCUUGACGAGGCAAAAUGUAUCUCUAUCUGAACAAGCAACACCAUGAACAGAACAUGAAAUUCCAUUCCCUGCUGAGGUUGAGUAACACCAAGACAUGUUUGGUAGGAACUUCAUGAUCACAUGCACCACAGGUGUGGAGUGCUUGGCUUGCUCUGCUAUUAGGGUUCCAUCAGAGAGUGACAGGCUGGUGGACUGGGAUAGUUUGGCAAGUGCAAUGGCUGCCUGCUGCUUGGCUAGUGAGCUGCCCCCUGAGAGAACACAAACUAGUGAUGGGUACUGUUCAAGUUUGCCCACUUGAAGUUUGGGCUUGCUAGGUUCUGUGUAUCAUAAAAGUGCUGCUAGAGCAUGUUCUAGUAAAUAUGCCAUGGCGAGCAGGUGCCAUGGUUCCAUUAUUUUCCUCAUUAGCACUGCAAAUCACCUCAUGAAUGGCUUUUUAACGUGUCCGAUUUGCAGAGUAUCUCAUCAAUUAUAAGAUCAUCAUCAGGAAGCUAGCUGAUGAUUCCAGUGGCAGUGGACCUUUCUUCAAUAUCUGGUGAAGAGGUGAGGAUACAUGCCAAGGUCUCAAUUGCUGUUUCUUUUGCAGGAGAAGGUGGUAGCGGAGCCCCAGCCGGAUGAUCUUCCGAAAUGAGGUAUAUAAGCUUCAUUGUCCACAGUCUCAUUCCGGGCUGGUCACUGUGAAGCAAAGAUAAGAGUUUCCCAACUGCAUCCAUAUUUGAUCGAAUUAGGUUCUGAGCUGUCUCUGAUUCAUGGUAGAGUUCAACCAGUAGGUGUAAGAACUGGACCUUAGUUUGAGGAUCAGAGUUGGCCGCACCCUGCAGAAGGAGACUGGCAUUGUACUUUGAUUGCAGCUCCUGCAAACCCCGAAAUUUAUCGAGUACUUGACUGGCUCCAAUUAGUAGAGCGAGAAUCUCAGCUGCUUCUUCUUUCACAUGCGAGUCAGACCUGAAAAAUGAAAUGAGACCAAGCAAAUGGGGUAUUGUAACAAGAUCCUUCAGAAGUCUCUUUACCAUCUUGGGGUACUGUAUGAGCUUUUUGAUAGAUCUGAGACAAGCUACUUUGCAUGCAGGGGCCCUUUAAGAAAGCAUCUGGACUAGUUUAUGUAUGAAUUCCUUAUUUUGUAAGUCAUUAAUAUUGCUCUCCUUGAGUUGCAUCUCUAUCAAUGCUGCAGCCAUCAAUGUUCUGGUUUCUUGAGGUCCUACAAGGAGAUUUAGGUUAGCAUAUGGUUUGCCAGUGGAUAUGCAUCACAUGAUCGAUAAUUUGACCUUGGUUAAAGCGAGCCACAAAUGGUUGGAAGUGUCCCACUUCAGUCAUCUUGACAACAAAAUGUGUGUUGGAGGAGAGUUUUUGCAACACCUUGUUGGCAUACUGUGAGACGUCAAGGUUAUCGUUAGGGAGUAACGAAACAAGAAGAGGAAUACUGUCUUUUGUACUUCCUAUUUUUUCUGAAAGGGUUUCUCUUUCCAGCAGCUCCAACAAGAUUGCAAUAGCAACAGGUUCUAUUCCAUCUUUAUAUAUCUGCUUCACGAUGUAGCGUACAGCCCCUGAUGUAACAAUGGAUUCCUGCAAGUUCCAACCAACAAAAAACCCUUAAAUUUAGCUUAGUGGAAGAUGAGGACGAAAUAUGAUAAGCUUCUACUAUUCUUAGCACUUGCUUACCCUGUAUUAUCACAGUAUUUAGCUCGGAAGUAGAGGCAUUUUAGUGUGGCCACCAUGUUUAGUAUAAUGGUUUUUAGUAUCUCCACCAACUUUGGUACGAGUCCUUCUUCUGCAAAUUUUAUUGCAUACAAAGGCAUCUCCAGCAAACCUUGCAUAUCUUCUAAGGCCUUCUUCUGUCUAGAAUGGUCAUUUGAUAGAGUCCAGCCAGUGCAGCUUGGAAUUUUAAGUCCAUGUCUCGCUGCUUCCAUUCUUCAACAGAGAUUCGAAAGGAAAGGUUUGGAGUAAGGUCCAGCGAUAGGAGCUCCUGUUUGCAAGUAAGGCACUAUUUCUCUCCCCUUCCAAAGUGUUCCUGAAUUGCUUUCCUCUCAAAGCUGCGACCACAGGGGAUUGCAACUGGGUCUGUCAUCAUCUCCUUGCGCAAUGGACAGAUAAAUGAAUCAAUUGGGUAAUGCUGGUGGUGUGAGGCAAUUCUCUCAUCGUCUGGUAUCGUAAAAAUUUCUGUACUGUACAAGAACUGUAUCAACUGCGACAAUUGAAGUGCCUCUGCCUGCUUCUUUUGAGUUUCCAUCUCUUCUUUUUCCUGCUUCAAAAGUUCCAGCUCAUUUUGAACCAUGGAUGCAUUCACAUUAGCACCAACAGCUUCUGUAAUCUUCUCCAAGAGCUUUACAGCAUGCUUCUGAUUUUUACAUUCCCUGGAUAUUAAAUUCUCUAUUUCUAAAGCAACUGCAUCUGUUGCAAAUGCUGCCGAUCGGAACUCCAUUUAGCUCAGGUUGCCCAUGAUCUGGGUAGCCAUAGCAAGAUUGAUCAGCUGAAAUGAGGAAAUAGUACUGGCAAUAUCUUUGGCCACGUCCUGCAUCUGCGAGAGCAUCGAGUGUGACUUUAAUAUGAGAUGGACGUGGCUUCCGGAUUUGUAAUCUUUAAUGAUCUUGCAGGCUUUCUUCAGCUGAAAAUUCAAGGUCUCUAAUGCAGCUUUUGUGGACUCUAAACCCUUUGCAUCAACAACUUUCUUGAAAUUCAAUGUACCAAGCAGGUUUUUAAGCUUAGAAAUAUUCCUUAAGAAUUCCUGAAAGCAAUCCUUGUUAAGCAUCA